rnacentral:rRNA from 1 species
UGGGGAAUAUUGGACAAUGGGGGCAACCCUGAUCCAGCCAUGCCGCGUGUGUGAAGAAGGCCUUUUGGUUGUAAAGCACUUUAAGCAGGGAGGAGAGGCUAAUGGUUAAUACCCAUUAGAUUAGACGUUACCUGCAGAAUAAGCACCGGCUAACUCUGUGCCAGCAGCCGCGGUAAUACAGAGGGUGCGAGCGUUAAUCGGAAUUACUGGGCGUAAAGCGAGUGUAGGUGGCUCAUUAAGUCACAUGUGAAAUCCCCGGGCUUAACCUGGGAACUGCAUGUGAUACUGGUGGUGCUAGAAUAUGUGAGAGGGAAGUAGAAUUCCCAGGUGUAGCGGUGAAAUGCGUAGAGAUCUGGAGGAAUACCGAUGGCGAAGGCAGCUUCCUGGCAUAAUAUUGACACUGAGAUUCGAAAGCGUGGGUAGCAAAACAGGAUUAGAUACCCUGGUAGUCCACGCCGUAAACGAUGUCUACUAGCCGUUGGGGUCCUUGAGACUUUAGUGGCGCAGUUAACGCG